rnacentral:rRNA from 1 species
CACGUAGGGCGCGAGCGUUGUCCGGAAUUAUUGGGCGUAAAGAGCUCGUAGGCGGCCUGUUGCGUCCGCUGUGAAAGCCCGGGGCUUAACCCCGGGUCGGCAGUGGAUACGGGCAGGCUAGAGGUAGGUAGGGGGAGAAUGGAAUUCCCGGUGUAGCGGUGAAAUGCGCAGAUAUCGGGGAGGAACACCUGCGGCGAAGGCGGGUUGCUGGGCUGACACUGACGCUGAUGCGCGAAAGCCAGGGGAGCAAACGGG